GUGCUUGCUUCCACAGCACAUAUACUAAAAUUGGAAUGAUACAGAGAGGAUUAGCAUGGCCCCUGCACAAGGAUGACACGCAAAUUCAUGAAGCAUUCCAUAUUUUU
ensembl:snRNA U6 U6 spliceosomal RNA